GCACUGCUGAAGAGUCCCAAACUAGGAGGAAACAGCUGUUCAGUGC
rfam:Trichobilharzia regenti genome assembly, scaffold: TRE_scaffold0000485